AGAGUUUGAUCCUGGCUCAGAACGAACGCUGGCGGCAGGCCUCAUACAUGCAAGUCGAGCGGUCCUUCGGGACAGCGGCGAACGGGUUAGUAACGCGUGGGAACGUGCCCUUUAGUACGGAAUAGCCAUUGGAAACGAUGAUUAAUACCGUAUACGCCCCAAGGGGGAAAGAUUUAUCGCUAAAGGAUCGGCCCGCGUUAGAUUAGGUAGUUGGUAGGGUAAUGGCCUACCAAGCCGACGAUCUAUAGCUGGUUUGAGAGGAUGAUCAGCAACACUGGGACUGAGACACGGCCCAGACUUCUACGGAAGGCAGCAGUAGGGAAUCUUGGACAAUGGGCGAAAGCCUGAUCCAGCCAUGCCGCGUGAGUGAUGAAGGCCCUAGGGUUGUAAAGCUCUUUCGCCAGGGAAGAUAAUGACGGUACCUGGUAAAGAAACCCCGGCUAACUCCGUGCCAGCAGCCGCGGUAAUACGGAGGGGGUUAGCGUUGUUCGGAAUUACUGGGCGUAAAGCGCACGUAGGCGGAUUAAUAAGUCAGGGGUGAAAUCCCGAGGCUCAACCUCGGAACUGCCUUUGAUACUGUUAAUCUUGAGUUCGAGAGAGGUGAGUGGAAUUCCGAGUGUAGAGGUGAAAUUCGUAGAUAUUCGGAGGAACACCAGUGGCGAAGGCGGCUCACUGGCUCGAUACUGACGCUGANGUGCGAAAGCGUGGGGAGCAAACAGGAUUAGAUACCCUGGUAGUCCACGCCGUAAACGAUGAGAGCUAGUCGUUGGAGAGUUCGCUCUUCGGUGACGCAGCUAACGCAUUAAGCUCUCCGCCUGGGGAGUAC
rnacentral:rRNA from 1 species